GGCGGAGUGCGGACGCACCGCUAGGCGGAGGAGGGAGGCGGCGGCGACGGAGGCUCCAGUGCUCGCCCGGAACCUUGUUGCCAGGGGUGACCGGGCGCUUUACGGCAGCGCGUUUGAACGGCGGCGGGGGAAAAAGUUGCGCCCGCAGCUCCAAUGGAGAGACAAACAGCUGGAGAGUGACGCUGUUCUUGCUGAACCUGCCGUUCUUGCGCUUUCCUGAGUCAUACUUCCCGCUUUCGCGAAGAGGAGAAGAGGUAUAAAAUUCUGUGCCUCUAAAAAAAAAUAAUAAAGGGAAAGAAGCAAAUUUUCACGAAUAAUUAAUGGAAGACCUCCUUUGGGCUUAAUAAACUUAUUAAAUGUGUUAAAAAUUAAAGCAUUACCACCAAACGCUUGUGCUAUUUAUUAACUCUUGCCUUUCGCUUCAGGCAAUAAAAUAAUUUAGUGAGUUUGUUUCUAGGCUUCCUUAUUUCUCUCUUUUUUUUUUCCCCUCCUUAUCCUAGGAUGAUUCUGUAGAAACUGAAAUUCUGUGCUUCUUGGGAAUUCUUUUAUCUAAACAGAUGAAAUUUCAGUGCAAGUGUUUCUGUUAAUGGGAUACUUUCAAUAAGAAAUUGAUACACUGCUGAACUUGAGGUCUUUAGCUAUACUACAUCAUUUCCACAUGCUGUAUGUUCACAUUCUGUAACCUAUCACCUCAUUUCAUGGAAGCGGCAUAGCGUGUCUCUAGAAAAGGAACUAUUGAACACUGCCAGUUUGUGGGCAUACCUUGCAUCCCCCUAAAAGCCAGUACAUUCAGAAGUGCUUAGAAAAGAAGUAUUGCUCUAAAAUGGAGGCAGAAUUAGGUAAAGAUCCAAAGGGAUAUUUUCCAAAUUAAUCGUACCAGCAAAAGUGUACAAGAGUACACAUGAGUGUACAAGUGUACAAGUUUUCACAUGAAAACAUUUUUGCAGGUAAAAAUCAUUUGUCUGGUAUCUCUAAAAAAAGUUGGUAAAUUUAGGUAUAUUGUUUUUACAUAUGUAUCUUUACUCAGUGUUGGUUGGCUGCUGACCUCAACAUUUUAAUAAGGAUCUACCUGAGAGUCAUUAAAAAAGGUUAACAAAUCAAACAAUACCACAUGUUUGAUGGACUAAUAGAAGUCAUUUAAAAGCUAUCCAAAUACAAGGAUAGCUAAGAACUGUGACAUGAAACCAACUGCAAGAUAAAAGUGAAACUUGUCAGCAAGAUUUUGAGUGAAUGGAUUGCAAGGUUUAGGGCAGAAUUUUGUUGGUACUUCAACCUCCUUGCUUGUCAAGUUUUUGUGCAGAAGAUACCUGUCACUGUGAAACUGUUUGCAAAUGAGGGCUUAAGGUGCUUUGGAAUUCUUGGAUGCUUUUUAUCAUUCAGUGGAUGAAUUUAAGCAAAAUAUCACGUACAGGUUUUCAUACUAAGUUUUUGGUUCCUUAAAAUUAGUCAUGGUUUUAGAAGGUACUUGCAAAUAAAAAAUAAUCUAAAAAUAUAUUUGUAGAUUUGUAAGAAUAUUCCCCUGCAUGCCCACACAAAAUUCCAGGCCCUCUUUAAGCAACUUUGAAGACCUUAUUUACUUUGAGUUUUGUCACUUUCCACUUCUGGAUAAGAAUUCUUGUGUCUUCAUUUUUGAGCAAUUUCCGAGCAGAAUGAGCAAAGAAACCGUCUCCUGAUGUUUGUUUUGCUCUUUUUCCAAUAGCCAUAGUGUCUGUUUGAGCACUAGUCUCCUGAGAUUUCCAAGCAGCUGGGAGAAACUGGUGACAACUCCUGCUGGCCAUUAGUUUCUGAAGAGCAGAACUGAAACUGGCAGGAGCCUUGGUAGCUCUACGCUGCUAUAGUUUUGAUAAAUGAGAAGAGAAAACCAAAGCAAUCUUUGUAUAUGUUAUCUUUCAUACCUAGGAGGUCUAGAAACCAAAAAAACAGAGGAUAGUGUUUUGCCUCAAGUUAUUGAUGACUCCAAUCACUAUUCACUGUGAAAGGUGUCUCAUUCACAACUUGUAAAUAGAUGAGUGGAUGGGUUGCUUUUUUGGUUUUUAAACUUUGAUAUGUUUAAUCCAAGCAACUGGGCGCUUCACAUCUUAGUAUACGAAGUUCUCAUUAUUUAAUGUGCUGAAUUAAGGAUGCAGCCACUGACAAACAAUUUUGACCUAAUACUUUCUUCUAAUCCUGGAUGCAAACACACUAGUUAAAAUUCUUGCUAUUUUUGUCAUGUUCUGCAGUGUUUGAACACAUUGUAUAUGUAGUUUAAACUGGUUUGUGCUGCAAGAAUGGAAAAUCCUAUUUUUCUUUAUGGUGCACAUGUUUCAAUCUGACUUUUCAGUCAAGGAUGCAGACAUUAAUUAAUGUAUUCUUUGGAAAAUCUUAGCAAAGCAGUAUGUUUCUUCAUCCUCCUAAAUCUGGUAAUCUUGAGAAGAUGUCUCUUUAAAAGAGGAGUUCUGAUACAGUGGUUAUCCAUGAUAAUUAGAUGUUUUCUAGUAAUUUGUAUGGGAAUUUAGGCAACCUAAAUAGCUAUAUUGUAGUUGAAACCUGAGAUUGCAUAGCUGCUGUACUUCACCCUUUUUGAAAUUUAUUUCCAUUGUCUGAAGAUAGGAAUUAAAAUACUUCCAUAGUCACACUGUUGUAAGGAUGUUCAAAAACUGACUAAUGACUCUUAUAGACAGCUUUUCCUGUUUUAAAAAUGCUCAUGUAUGUUGUGUUAUGAUUUAUGAUCUCUUAAGUAUGUAUCAUUAAAUAAAAGCAAUCAGUCCUCUGUUUGUAUGCCUACUCCUCAUUCAUGUUCAUGAAAUGCAGUUUCACAUCCUAUCUUGAGUAUUGUAGAUUUAAUGGUGUUC